AACGCUAGCUACAGGCUUAACACAUGCAAGUCGAGGGGCAGCAUGAACUUAGCUUGCUAAGUUUGAUGGCGACCGGCGCACGGGUGAGUAACACGUAUCCAACCUUCCGUUUACUCAGGGAUAGCCUUUCGAAAGAAAGAUUAAUACCUGAUAGUAUGGUGAGAUUGCAUGAUAACACCGUUAAAGAUUUAUUGGUAAACGAUGGGGAUGCGUUCCAUUAGGUAGUAGGCGGGGUAACGGCCCACCUAGUCUUCGAUGGAUAGGGGUUCUGAGAGGAAGGUCCCCCACAUUGGAACUGAGACACGGUCCAAACUCCUACGGGAGGCAGCAGUGAGGAAUAUUGGUCAAUGGGCGAGAGCCUGAACCAGCCAAGUAGCGUGAAGGAUGACUGCCCUAUGGGUUGUAAACUUCUUUUAUAAAGGAAUAAAGUCGGGUAUGGAUACCCGUUUGCAUGUACUUUAUGAAUAAGGAUCGGCUAACUCCGUGCCAGCAGCCGCGGUAAUACGGAGGAUCCGAGCGUUAUCCGGAUUUAUUGGGUUUAAAGGGAGCGUAGAUGGAUGUUUAAGUCAGUUGUGAAAGUUUGCGGCUCAACCGUAAAAUUGCAGUUGAUACUGGAUAUCUUGAGUGCAGUUGAGGCAGGCGGAAUUCGUGGUGUAGCGGUGAAAUGCUUAGAUAUCACGAAGAACUCCGAUUG
rnacentral:rRNA from 1 species